UUUUCAUGGUCAAUUACAGGUCGUUUCUUAGGUGCAAAAUGAUGAUUCGUCCGUUUAUGUUAGUCCCACCCACAAUGUUAUGUUUACGACCUAAGGAUAUAGUAAAAUGCGGGCGUUUGUGAAGUUAAAUUUGAAAUUAGCCGAGUUAAGCAAACAUAAAUCAGAUCAAUUAAAAGUAAAAAAAAAAAAAAAAAGUAAAAGUAUUAGCAAUAAAUCCGGACCGUCUACAAAUGAAACCCGACAGACCACCUGAGGGUGCUGGAUUUAUCGAUCAGAAACUUCUGAACCAAGUGUGUUUGAAGCAUCAUAUUAGCAUAACAUUACAGUGUUUGAUCCGCUAAACAGAUGCGUCCUUUGUGGAAAGAAACACAGAAACAUUGUGCUAGAUCCUAUUCAAACUGAAUAAUUUGCACAUUAUCUGCGCACAUUUCUGCGGUCCUCGAUGUGUGAACUGACAGAGACGUUUGAUUAUGAAAUCAUCAACGAAGCCCAGUUGUUUCACACUGAGUUUUCAUAUGCUGCACACCUGGCCCACCCACUUAAACAUUUCUGGCUACGCUAGUGGUCUAUGGUUUAGCUUAUGAGACUGUCACGUGAUGAACGAACGACUCAAACCCGAAGACUUGUCAGAUAAGAGGUGAGGUGACCUAUUCGUAGACUAAAGACCCAGGUAAACAAUGAAUUAAUCUUUUCUGUUUCUUAUACAUUAUAGUUUUGUAUUGUUUGUAGUGUGAUCAACGUUUGCAUACAUAGUAGAUGUGUUAGGGAAGUAGCACGUAACAUUUGAAUUAUAUUUUGCUAAAAUGAACGAAAUGACUCGAAAAAAGAUUCGUUCAUUUUGCUGAACGAGACUCAAAGGUCAGAGUCAGUAAAAUGAUCCGAACUUCCCAUCACUAGUGAUCAGUAAACACUGGGACAACUGAUCAAUCAAUUUGUAAAACGUCACCAUUUAUCAACAAUAGGCAGGACCGUUAUAUUUUGAUAUUAUUUUAUGCUAUUUGAGGUAACUUAGCCCUAUAAUAUGAAAUGUACAUGUUCUAUUACAAAUCCAGUCAACAUCAAUGGUCCCUGUUGUGCAAUGGAUUGUGGAAUGAAUUUGUGCCAAAAAAAAAAAAAAAAAGGUUGCAACUUCUGUUUAAUCAAAUAUUUAAUUAACUGAUAUUGAUACAUUGUAAAUUAUUUAAAAGCCAUCAUUUCAUUUUUUUUAACUUAAAAUGUACUUUUCUUUCUCCAUCAGGGUGUGGCCAAAGGUUUAAGUGGUGCUUUGUUAUUGUUGCAAGAUUACAGAUGCAACCCAGUCAGUUCUUCCAAGGCACCAAACACUAGCUCUUGACCAGACCGCUCCACUGCAACUACAUACUGUGUGUACCGUCAAAACUAGGAGUUUAUUGUUUUCAUUCCAGGUGAAUGUAGCCACCCAGAUCCAGUACGUAUCCAGAUCAGAUGGUGGAUCAACACCUAGAGAUGACCUCUACAGCCCUGAAUGUCAGCGGAGACCAUGUCAGCUAGAUGAGCCCCAGAGACUGAUCCCCUCCAAAGACCUUGUUGGCCAUCGGGACAAGACCACGAGAACCAGAUAAGUCCUCUGCUCAGUCUGACCUGUGUUGCAGCCUAGAAUUAAACUACGCCAUGCUGGUUUCGUCUGGCCAGAGGAGAACUGCCCCCCCUCGGCUGAGCCUGGUUUCUCCCAAGGUUUUCUACUCGAUCUCUGUCACCGAUGGAGUUUUGGGUCCUUGCCGCUGUCACCUUUGGCUUGCUUAUUUGGGGACACUUGGCUGAUUGCACAGACAUUAUUAGAAGAGAACUAAACUGGAUGAUGUUGACACUGAAUCACCAAUGAACUGACUUUAACUGGAAAAAUGACUUGUUAAUGUCCUCUUGCAUUAUUGACAAACUAUUUUCCUCUUUGACUCUGUAAAGCUGCUUUGACACAAAUCAGUAUUGUAUAAAGCGCUAUGUAAAUAAAGGUGACUUGAUUUGAUUUUAUAUACUGUAACACCUGGUUCAUUAUAUUAUUUAUUUAUUUCUUUUUUACUUCUGCCUCAUUUUAAAGAUAUAAUUGCAAACAGUAAUAAUAUUUGUAAAAGUUUGUUUGCUAACAUUUAGUUUAGCUUGUUUAGUUUUUUCUUAGUUCUUAGUUCACACAAAGUUUAAACUGAAUUUUGCAGUUGUAUUACAGAUGUAAUGUGUGUCAACUGGAGCUUUAAAGGGAUAGUUCACCCAAAAAUGAAAAUUUGCUGUUAAUUUACUGACCCUUAGGCCAGUACAUCUUAAGAUGUAGGUGACUUUUUUUUUCUUUCAUUCCUGUAUGUUUAGUUUGUAUGAAAAAUUGUA